GCUUUGUUGGCUUAAUUGGUUGAGAUGCCUCAUUAAUAUUUUGGAAUCAUGGGUUCGAAUCCCAGCAAGAGCA